rnacentral:rRNA from 1 species
ACAUGUACGUGGUACGGAUCUGAAAGGUAGAAGGACCCGGGUCUUCGGACUGGGAGCGUACACAGGUGCUGCAUGGCUGCCGUCAGCUCGUGUCGUGAGAUGUUGGGUUAAGUCCCGCAACGAGCGCAACCCCUGCUGCCAGUUGCCAUCAGUUCGGCUGGGCACUCUAUGGAGACUGCCACCUAAAGUGGAGGAAGGUGGGGAUGACGUCAAGUCAGCAUGGCCCUUACGUCCGGGGCUACACACGUGCUACAAUGGCCGGUACAAAGGGUUGCGAAGCCGUGAGGUGGAGCGAAUCUCAAAAAGCCGGCCUCAGUUCGGAUUGGAGGCUGCAACUCGCCUCCAUGAAGUCGGAAUCGCUAGUAACCGCAGAUCAGCUACGUUGCGGUGAAUACGUUCCCGGGCCUU